rnacentral:misc_RNA from 1 species
UAAAGUGCGAUAUGUAGUGCGAUUUGCAUGAAUCUGUGAGUCAUCUAAUCUUUGAACGCAACUUGCGCCUCUUUGAGGCAUGUUUGUUUGAGUGCCACAUAACCCUAUGCAGCAAUGCGACUUGAUUCGAGUCUCUGGACUGAAUCUAAAAGUAGCCAGAUGGUGGUCAGUGUGACUAGCCCGAGUGCUAAGCAUUCUUGGAUCUAGUUUCGCAGCCAUUAAACACUUUAUAUUUUUGGCCUCAAAUCAAGCAAGACUACCCGCUGAACUUAA